UCCAUUUUAUUCCAUGAAAAUGAUGAGAAAACCAUCCAAUAAGCUAUGAUAACAAAGAAUCCAUUCUCCAAUAAUUAAGUUGAGCUCAACGAAUACAAUGUGUUACCACAUUUUAUGUGUACAGUAGUUGAGAAAGGGCCACGUUGCUGUACCUAUUGCUUUAAUGCAAGGAAGAAGUGAUCAUUACGUUGUGAAACAGACACAUGUCCUAUCGGCUUGGUUGUUUACGGGCAACCAUUGUGUGGAAGCCCAACUUCAUGUUUGGCUUGUGAAUAAACACAGCCCUGUCCCAGAAAAUGAUACCCUCUUCCCCCGCCCCACAAAAACAACAAAAACAAGAACAUUAUCGACCGCCUUAACGUCGAUGGAUUGCCGACAAGAUGAGAAUAAUAGAGAAUCAAGAAUUUUAAUUGCACUUACGGUAAUACAUGGUUAAUUAAUUAGUUAAUCCAAUGAGCUGCAAGGUUCAGUGUUUAAUAAUUCUACUAUUCUAGCCAUCUCCUUGUUGUUUCACUACAUGUCAAUUUAGGGUUCCAUAAAGUAUAUUUAUUGUAAGAAGACCACCCUAAACCGCACCAGAGAUCAUGAUAAUUAAUUUUUCCAAUAACUGCUCAGUAUGCUUCGUUCCCCGCGCCCUACCAUCCACUAGAAAGGAUAAGUUCAUAGACAAGAGAGUCCUGGAGAGUCAAAAUUUUAUGGUGAUCAAGAAUGAGUAAUUGUUCACUAAUGUUUAUUUGCAUUAUAAUCUUCCUUUUUCUUGUUUCGAAUGAAAGAAAAUCAAAUAUAAUUUACCUUAGCUUCCUUCCACAAAGUAAAAUAGAGUACCUUGUUAAUUCAUAAUAAAUAUGCGGCCAUAAACUUAAUUAGUUUGGUGACGAGGGGGUAUCCAAACCAUUAUUUAAACAUAUACAUGAGACCCAGCAAAAAAACAAAAAAAAGAUUCAGUAAGAUAAAAUAACUUUAUUAAAGAAACAAACUAAGAUGAUAUUACGAUUUUGCUAAGGCAUUGCUAUUUGAAACGCUAACUGCAGUUACGUUAUUCAUGCUCUUAAGUCUUAGCUACUAUAAUUUAAAUAAUUUGCUAAAGUUACACAGCCUCGUCUACACCACGUAAUAGCACGCGAAAAGAAAAAAAAUCACAGAAACUACUUUGAAUUUAUUUAUUUAUCUGGACAGGAGGAUUUGAGAACACAUGUAAAAUAUCAUUCGUCGAUCUAGAUAAUUAUGAUUUGGUUUGUUAAUUUACAUUUUAAUUUUGAAGGAGACGUUGACUCGAUCUUAAUCUGUUUCUUUCUGAUCAAUAAAUUCUUUAAUUUAAUUUCAUUAAAAAAUUAGUAAUUGAUCUUGGGUUUCA